rnacentral:rRNA from 1 species
UACGUAGGCAGCAAGCGUUGUUCGGAGUUACUGGGCGUAAAGGGUGUGUAGGCGGUUUUUUAAGUUUGGUGUGAAAUCUCCCGGCUCAACUGGGAGGGUGCGCCGAAUACUGAAAGACUAGAGUGCGGGAGAGGAAAGUGGAAUUCCUGGUGUAGCGGUGAAAUGCGUAGAUAUCAGGAGGAACACCGGUGGUGUGGACGGCUUUCUGGACCGUAACUGACGCUGAGACACGAAAGCGUGGGUAGCAAACAGG